UUAAAAAAAAAAGAGAUGCAGACCCAGACAGCAGAACAAGGUCCUAAGAAAAGGAUUCCAUGUAAUCCGAAAAUUCCAAGUGUAUUUGUAUAGAAGUACGCGAAUUUUCAAAUCAGUGCAGCAUCUUGUUUUUUAUUUAAAGGUUUAAGGUUUUCAUAUACAUGUACCUGACGUAAAGGACUCUUCCUGCGUUUCUGGAGAAACUGAAAAAUGAAAAACUAGCUCCUAAAGCUGUACCAUGUGCGCAGCGAGCCUUCGGUAAAUGUUAGCUGAUUAAACAUCAGUCAGAGAUGACAAGGUGGGCACCAGGGAGAGAACCAUUUCCGAGGAGACAGUGUGUUUCAGCUACAGGCAGGGCGACCGCAGCGACGCCAGGGGGGACAGGACGACCCGCCGCUGAGCCUCCCGGUAGCCGGUGCCCUGGGGGGGUCCCGGGAAGGGGUCUCCGCAGAGUGCCGCAAACAGACGACCGGCCUAAGGCGCGCCGGGGAUCUCGCUGGGUCACCGUGGGAAGACUACGUGGCCAAGAAACUCUGAGGACUUGGGCUGAGGAUGGGAACUAUUUUUUUGAUUCUUACUGCUGCAGGUGGCUUUACAGACAUUUACGUUCUGUAAGAUAAAUGGCCUGAACACUUCUAAAAUACUAAUGUAAUGAAGCCACACACAAAGAUUAAGCUGUGAGUGCAGUCUCAAGACUCAAGAGAAACAGAGUGAUUAUGAGCCCUCCCACGGAACCCUGGUGCUCAGGGGAUUCCCUCCAAACAGACAACCCUGCACAUCACCACUCCAGAUGAGCUGCCAUGAGAAAAGGGCCUGUGCAUUGUGAAACUCUGUAUGUACAGGGAAGCUUGGAAUGUCUGUUUUGCGAACCUAAAAAUAAAACAUUAAAAGGUA